AACACGCCUCGCACAGCAUGCCACCUCACAAAUCAAAGAACUGCUGGCACGCGGGGCUGUGGGUCUGUAAAAGCAGGAGAAGGCCGACAGAUGCAGCUGUUUUGUUUCGCUCUCACCACAGAACUUUCCAACUAUCUGUCACAGAAGUUCAGGUUGCCUGGCAACAAGGUCGUGCUUGUCGCAGCGGGUUGCCACAAUGACAGUCGCUAGGCGGGAGCCUACCAACAAAGACAUCAGGUGUUACUUCCCACUGCUUGUCUGCGGACACUUCCAUCGACCUCCAACGGCUGCCGUGUGUGUGUGUACACUGCACACUCCCUGUAUGAAGAUCUGUCUGUUGACGUUGGCAGAGUGUGUGUGUUGCUGCUGGCUGCAACAAAGUGAGAAAAGCCUUCUGCAGCACACUCCUCAGCCCGGCCACCGCAAGAGUACACAAACUCAUGAACAACAAAGACGUCAUGUUUCCUCACCAAACAGCAAGCUGUUUCAGGACCUGUCACUGGCUUUCAUGAAAGUGUGCUAUUCACAUUUCUGCAAAAACAGUAUUAUGUCUUAUGCAUUCAUUGGGCUUAAAUGGCUGGUGCUUUAAUUACUUGAUUUAAUGUAUGUUUCAAGGACACAUCCUUGAGUCACUUGGACCCUGUUUAUGAUUUAGUAAACUAUUGAAUGGACAUUUUCUCUCUGUCCCUACUGUAUUAAUUAAAUUGUGGAGUGAUUGUGAUGGUACAUAUUUGCCAACAAUGAGCUGUACGGUGUUUACAAACAUCUUAUCAUUCAUUUUAGUUUAUUAUUGUGUUCUAAGAGGAAAUGUUGGUCUGUUGGGUCCACCACUUUAUUCCAAACUAAUAUAUCUCAACAACUAUUGGAUGGAUUGCCAAGACAUUUUGUACAGCAUUAAUGUUCCACAGAGAAUGAAGCCUAUUGAUUUUGGUAAACAUUUUGUAUCCAAUAUUAGGGUUUGUAGACACAUUUCUGUAAAACCAACGACAAUCCCAUUAGUUGUACUUUUUGUCUAGUACUAUAUCCAAAUGUUAGCAUGUUAACAUGCUAAACCAAGACAGGUAACAUACUUAUGCGAAACAUUAGCAUUUUAGUAUUGUCAUUGUGCACAUGUAUGCAUAUCUACGAUUGCAUUUAGCUUUUUCUAGUAUUAGAACAAAACAAAUGCCAACCAGAAAGAUGAGUUCAGGCUGAAUAAUUAGGCAGAUUGUUUCACUUGAAUAAAAGUUCUGAUAUUAUGUUGAUUUGUACAGAAUGAGGUUAAAACAGUCUGACAGCACGUGAAGUUUUCCAUAUGUUUUAAGAAAAAAACUUUUUUGCAAUGUUAACAUACCAAAUCACUUAAAUGU